UGUGGGAGCGAGCCUGCUCGCGAAAGCGGCGGUUCAGUCAAUACUUUACUCGACUGAUAGUCCGCCUUCGCGAGCAGGCUCGCUCCCACA
rnacentral:antisense_RNA from 1 species